GCCUAAAGGUAAUGGCAAAACCUUAGAGUAUCAAGGAAACUCUUAAGAACCUCUCUAAGCUUUAAGGCUACUUCGCUUAAGAACCAGUCUUUUACGGGUAGACUCACACCUUAGAGUAUCAAGGGCACUCUUAAGAACCUCUAACUUUUACGGGUAAGUUAGUACCUUAGAGUAUCAAGAAACUCUUAAAAACCUCUCUAAGCUUUAAGGCUACUUCGCUUAGGAACCAGUCUUUUACGGGUAGACUCACACCUUAGAGUAUCAAGGGCACUCUUAAGAACCUCUAACUUUUACGUGUAAGUUAGUACCUUAGAGUAUCAAGGAACUCUUAAAAACCUCUGAAAUCUUUAAAGGUAGACUCAACCUAAGAGUUUUCCCGGAAACUCUAUAAAACCAAACUAGAACUUUAUGGUUGAGCUCACAAACCUUCUCUAACACUUUGGUACUAUUGAGACAACCCUCUCAACCAAAGUGGACACACACAAGAGGUGAUUAGAGAAGUGGAAUAUUAAAGCAAACAACACUUCUUACUUGUAAAGAUGAACAAGAAGAUUAGAAGAAGAAGUUGGAGAGCUUUUGAAGCUUUGGAAAGCUAGGACACUUGAGCACUUGAAAGCUUGGAAGCUUGGAGGCAAAAACGUGUGGGCAAGUAUGGAGUGAAAGCUCUUGAGUUUGUUUGUAGUGUGGUGAGUGAAAAUGAGGGGAUUACCCUUCUAUUUAUAGCCUUGGCCACUCAAUGUCCACCCUUGGAUCUUCAAUGGAUGGCUCCUUGAUUUCUCACAAAAAUCCAAGCUUUGUCUUUGAUCUUAUCUUGAAUAGUGUAUUUUUUGGAUAGAGUUUGUUGGAGAAUCUUAUCUUUGUAUAAAUUCAAACUUGAAUAGUAUUUUGUCCCCUUGGAAUAUUAUACCUUGAAUAAAGUGUCAAAAGAUAAUAAUAAUAAUAUUCAAGGUAAAAAUGCAAUUAUUCCAAAUAAUAAUAUUCAAGGUGAAAAUGCAAUUAUUCCAAAUAACA
rnacentral:lncRNA from 1 species